GAUGAACGCUGGCGGCGUGCCUAAUACAUGCAGGUCGAGCGAACGGACGAGAAGCUUGCUUCUCUGAUGUUAGCGGCGGACGGGUGAGUAACACGUGGAUAACCUACCUAUAAGACUGGGAUAACUUCGGGAAACCGGAGCUAGUACCGGAUGAUAUUUUGAACCGCAUGGUUCAAAAGUGAAAGACGGUCUUGCUGUCACUUAUUGAUGGAUCCGCGCUGCAUUAGCUAGUUGGUAAGGUAACGGAUUACCAAGGCAACGAUGCAUAGCCGACCUGAGAGGGUGAUCGGCCACACUGGAACUGAGACACGGUCCAGACUCCUACGGGAGGCAGCAGUAGGGAAUCUUCCGCAAUGGGCGAAAGCCUGACGGAGCAACGCCGCGUGAGUGAUGAAGGUCUUCGGAUCGUAAAACUCUGUUAUUAGGGAAGAACAUAUGUGUAAGUAACUGUGCACAUCUUGACGGUACCUAAUCAGAAAGCCACGGCUAACUACGUG
rnacentral:rRNA from 1 species